rnacentral:rRNA from 1 species
CCUACGGGUGGCAGCAGUGAGGAAUAUUGGUCAAUGGGCGAGAGCCUGAACCAGCCAAGUCGCGUGAGGGAGUACUGCCCUAUGGGUUGUAAACCUCUUUUGUCGGGGCGCAAAAGCCGGACGUGUCCGGCUGUGAGAGUACCCGAAGAAAAAGCAUCUGCUAACUCCGUGCCAGCAGCCGCGGUAAUACGGAGGAUGCGAGCGUUAUCCGGAUUUAUUGGGUUUAAAGGGUUCGCAGGCGGAUUUUUAAGUCAGCGGUAAAAUCGGGGGGCUCAACCCCAUCCAGCCUGUGAAACUGGGGAUCUAGAGUGUGCGAGAGGUAUGCGGAAUGCGUGGUGUAGCGGUGAAAUGCAUAGAUAUCACGCAGAACCCCGAUUGCGAAGGCAGCAUACCGGUGCACAACUGACGCUCAGGCACGAAAGCGUGGGUAUCGAACAGGAUUAGAGACCCGGGUAGUC